rnacentral:rRNA from 1 species
UGGGGAAUAUUGCACAAUGGGCGCAAGCCUGAUGCAGCCAUGCCGCGUGUAUGAAGAAGGCCUUCGGGUUGUAAAGUACUUUCAGCGGGGAGGAAGGGAGUAAAGUUAAUACCUUUGCUCAUUGACGUUACCCGCAGAAGAAGCACCGGCUAACUCCGUGCCAGCAGCCGCGGUAAUACGGAGGGUGCAAGCGUUAAUCGGAAUUACUGGGCGUAAAGCGCACGCAGGCGGUUUGUUAAGUCAGAUGUGAAAUCCUCGGGCUCAACCUGGGAACUGCAUCUGAUACAGGCAAGCUUGAGUAUCGUAGGGGGGGGUAGAAGUCCAGGUGUAGCGGUGAAAUGCGUAGAGAUCUGGCGGAAUAACGGUGGCGAAGGCGGCCCCCUGGACGAAGACUGACGCUCAGGUGCGAAAGCGUGGGGGGCAAACAGG